AUAUUCUAUUGUAUUGUUUAUUUAUUGUAAUUUAUUUUACAGGUGGGGAUGAAACGUACAAAAGUACAUGGUUUGCUUACGAGGCGCUGGCAUUUUUAGGAGAUCGAAAUAAUCCAAGGAAACGACGCAACACAGAGAUUACAAAUGAACCGGAACAGAGUGCAUCUACAAGUGUCGAAAAUGAUAACAGUUUGUUUGAUAACAGUUCAGAAUUUAUAUCACCAACUGGUCA